rnacentral:rRNA from 1 species
GACGAACGCUGGCGGCGUGCUUAACACAUGCAAGUCGAACGGAAAGGCCCCUUUGGGGGUCCUCGAGUGGCGAACGGGUGAGUAACACGUGAGUAACCUGCCCUUGACUUCGGGAUAACUUCAGGAAACUGGGGCUAAUACCGGAUAGGAAUCCUUGCUGCAUGGUGGGGGUUGGAAAGCUUCGGCGGUUUUGGAUGGACUCGCGGCUUAUCAGCUUGUUGGUGGGGUAGUGGCUUACCAAGGCUUUGACGGGUAGCCGGCCUGAGAGGGCGACCGGCCACAUUGGGACUGAGAUACGGCCCAGACGCCUACGGGAGGCAGCAGUGGGGAAUAUUGCACAAUGGGCGGAAGCCGGAUGCAGCAACGCCGCGUGCGGGAUGACGGCCUUCGGUUUGUAAACCGCUUUCAGCAGGGGCGAAGCUUGUGGUGACGGUACCUGCAGAAGAAGCACCGGCUAACUACGUG